AAUCGGUAAAAAUACCUAAUGUUCAUAAGUACAUGUUAGAGUGGGAAUUUGAUGUUGCCAUAGAAGGGAAAAAUGUUCAGAAUGUUAUAAAACAUAAGAAUAAGAGAUGAAGUUUAAUUUCCGAGCCUUGGGGCAAAAAUGUAAUUUUGUAAAAGUUUAGGGGCAAAAUUGUAAUUUUGAAAAAGUUAGAGUCGAGGGCUGUUUUGAUGAAUGUGAUUAUUAAAUAAGUUAAAUUUACUAUUUUAGAUCAAAAAGUACGAAACUCGAGGUUAGACAAAGGGAAGAAUAAAGUUGAAGACUAAGUUGGUGAAUUUGGCUAUAAUUGGUACCGAGUAUUGCAAAGCUACUUCAAGGAUCCUAAAGAAGUCGGAGAUCGUCCACACUAUCAACUACAACUGCUCGGUAUUUUAUAUCGAAACACGUUUGAGUUAUGGCAUGUAUAGGGAUUUAGUUAUUUUGUAUGUUUGUAAUGAUGAUUUUGCUAAUGAGUGAUGUGUAAGUAUUUGAUGAUGUAUGGUCAUUAAAAUGGUUAAGGAUGAAGGUGUUUGUUGUUAUGAAA